rnacentral:piRNA from 1 species
UGCAUAGUUGAUGGCACAGAGCUAG